rnacentral:rRNA from 1 species
GAUGAACGCUGGCGGCGUGCUUAACACAUGCAAGUCGAGCGAAGCACUUUGAAUUUUUCGGAAUGAGAAGUGACUGAGCGGCGACGGUGAAGUACGCGUGGUAACCUGCCUCAUACGAGGGGAUAACAGUUAGAAAUGACUGCCUAAUACCGCAUAAGCGCACGUCAUCGCAAUGAUGGUGUGUGGAAAAACUCCGGUGGUAUGAGAUGGACCCGCGUCUGGAUUAGGUAGUUGGUGGGGUAACGGCCCACCAAGCCGACGGAUCAGUAGCCCGACCUGAGAGGGUGACCGGCCACAUUGGGACUGGAGACACGGCCCAA